GACGAACGCUGGCGGCGCGCCUAACACAUGCAAGUCGAACGGAGUUUCCCCUUCGGGGGGAGCUUAGUGGCGGACGGGUGAGUAACACGUGAGGAACCUGCCUUUGAGAGCGGGAUACCGUCUGGAAACGGACGUUAAUACCGCAUAAUGCAGCGAGGCCACAUGGCCAUGCUGCCAAAGAUUUAUCGCUCAAAGAUGGCCUCGCGCCUGAUUAGAUAGUUGGCGGGGUAACGGCCCACCAAGUCUGCGAUCAGUAGCCGGACUGAGAGGUCGAACGGCCACAUUGGGACUGAGAUACGGCCCAGACUCCUACGGGAGGCAGCAGUGGGGGAUAUUGCACAAUGGGCGAAAGCCUGAUGCAGCGACGCCGCGUGAGGGAAGACGGUUUUCGGAUUGUAAACCUCUGUCUUCGGGGACGAAACAAGACGGUACCCGAGGAGGAAGCCACGGCUAACUACGUGCCAGCAGCCGUGGUAAAACGUAGCGUG
rnacentral:rRNA from 1 species